UAUACGGAAACGGAAGCUCAUUUGCCGUUGGCAAAGCGGAAACUGUUAAAAGGUCAAAGGUGAGCGCUGUUGACGUGCAGGUGGGAUUCUUUUACCUGUUCCCAACCCUGAGCCACUGCCUGCCUUUGUUUGUGAAAAGGGAGGUGGGGCCACGGCUGUGCCCACUGGGACGCUUGCUCCUAAGGCAGUGCAGUGGUACAGGCCUUCCUGGAAGAGGAUGUGUUCCUACAUGAGUUAACAGCUAGGCUUUGCGGCAUGCUCCUGUCACCCUAAUUACUUAAGAAGCUGAGGCAGGAGGAUUGAAACAGAGAUCACUCUCCCACGGAGGAAAAACAUCUUUAGCUCCUCAGAAGGCAAGGCACUGCUGAAGGGAACCUAGACCUCAGAAGGGGCAGAGUAAACCUAUCAGAGGAGAUUCCAGAAUAUGAGCCCGCCGACUCCAGGAAUAUCCUGGCAGGAACCUGCAUUUAACAAGUGCCCGCAAGUCAGGAGAUGUCAGAUUUUCCUAGAAGAGUCCCAGAAACCCCACCAUGCCCGGUGACAAAGAGGAGCCUUUUCCUGUCUAGACAUGAAAAUGCUUGUAAUUAAAAUUAAGACGUGAAAGGGGA